rnacentral:rRNA from 1 species
GACGAACGCUGGCGGCGUGCUUAACACAUGCAAGUCGAACGGAAAGGCCCUGCUUUUGUGGGGUUCUCUAGUUGCGAACGGGUGAGUAACACGUGAGUAACCUUCCCUUGACUUUGGGAUAACUUCAUGAAACUGGGGCUAAUACCUGCUAGGAUCUCCUGCUUCAUGGUGGUGGUUGGAAAGUUUCGGCGGUUGGGGAUGGACUCGCGGCUUAUCAGCUUGUUGGUGGGGUAGUGGCUUACCAAGGCUUUGACGGGUAGCCGGCCUGAGAGGGUGACCGGAGACAUUGGGACUGAGAUACGGCCCAGACUCCUAAGGGAGGCAGCAGUGGGGAAUAUUGCACAAGGGGCGGAAGCCUGAUGCAGCAACGCCGCGUGCGGGAUGACGGCCUUCGGGUUGUAAACCGCUUUCGCCUGUGACGAAGCGUGAGUGACGGUAAUGGGUAAAGAAGCACCGGCUAACUACGUG